CUAGGAACAAAAUAAAAGCAUGAUAACAGCAAAUAAAACAACUUGAUGAAAACCAGAGCGUAUUUUCUUUUAAACAUAAUAGGCCCCUCAAAGAUCAUUUGGGCUCUGAUACCAUGAUGAAAUUUGGAAUGGAAAUUCAUUUAGUCUUUCACAAAACAUAAACAGAAAUUUGAAAUAUUAACUUAACAAAACACAAGUUGGAGAAGAGAGGAAAUAACAUGAAUCUAUUACUGCAAAUUCAUGAACUGCAGAUUUACAAACUCAAAACAUGAAACAAAGACAACAACUUUUUUUUUUCUUUUUCUUAGCCAUUUCCAUCACUCUAUUUUUCUUCUCACUUUUUCUUUGUUGCAGCAUGCCUCUUUUUAUAGGAAGAGAAAGUUUCCUACUCCACAACUACACUUACCUGCUCUUCUCCUUAAAAGAAGGAUGUCCAUUCCUUUUUAACUAAAAUAGAUUUUGACAAUGAAAUGUCUCUAUCUCAUAUUUCCAACACAAACUCCAGUCCAGUUGUAAGAACACUAGUUGUAACAGCUAUUACCAAGUAUUAAAUCCUGCUGUUUAUGGCUGCCAACCUUGCUUUAUCUCCCUGCUUUUGGAACCACUAAUUCUUCCCCCUUUCUUUUGCCCUACUUCAAUUCAUAUCACUCAGAACUUCAACUACCUGACAUUUUUACUUUAACACUUUAAGACCCUCCUAGAUAUUCAUUCUGGUGGCGAUAAGCCUACAUUUGUAAUCUUCUUUUGGUUUCACUAGUCACUGAAUGUCUAUUCCAUUAACGUAUAUCGCAUUUUUUUUUUUUACCAAAGAAAAGAUCUAAUAAAAUAUUUAUAUAGUACCCAGCUACGACCUUUUUGUUAGGCCUGCAAUAAAAGCUUUUCUUUACUUGCAACUGCAACUAUUUUUAGUGGUCCAGCUUGCUGCAUGCUGACAUGUUUAAUGUGACACUUACAGAAUCAAAUCUAAAUUCAGUAAAAUUAAAGAAUGUCUUUUGUUUAACUCCAUUCAUCUAGAUAAACCAUAGCUUUGUUUUCAGUGGCAUUUUACUAUUUGCAAAUGCAAAUUCUUCACACUGAGCCAUCAAUGCACAUCAAAUAAUCUGAAAUGAUGUGUUUCUUUGCCUUAUUGGCUGAGCCACGGUACACAUCACAUAAUUUGAAAUAAUUUGUCUUAAGUGCCUUCAAGGCUUUGCGACAUGUCUUCAUCUUACUUUUGGCAGAUAUAUAAAAGAAUUGAUAUUGCAGAAAAAUACAGUUUGUUAAUUUUGUUUGCUGGACCCAAUUUGCCAGUUAACUUUUUCUAAUUUCUUUGUUCAUUAUAAAGGAAAGUCAAUCUGUU
rnacentral:lncRNA from 1 species